GGAGAGAUGGCUCAGUGGUUAAGAGCACUCACUGCUCUUCCAGAGGUCCUGAGUUCAAAUCUCAGCAACCACA
rnacentral:tRNA from 1 species